GGGGGUUAGAGUUGCCAAAAAUCUUAACGUUACCGCAAGUCUUUCCGUCACACUUAAAGAUUUUCUAAAUGUAGUGUCUCGUUUGCCUAUUUUUGCCCCAAUCAAAUUUUGUAGAUAUUCAAAUUCGGAACUGUUCAUUCUUAUAAAAUCUUUUAAGCAACCGUCAAUACCCAAAUCCUUGAGAUAGUCUGUGGCACUAUAUUUUCCUCUAGCUUUUAGCGUUUAACGCAUCCAAUAAGAGCGCUUUUUCUUCUUUUUUAAA